rnacentral:rRNA from 1 species
AGUCGAGCGAGAAACUUCGGUUUCUAGCGGCGGACGGGUGAGUAACACGUGGGCAACCUGCCUUAUAGAGGGGGAUAGCCUCCCGAAAGGGAGAUUACUACCGCAUAACAUUAAGUUUUCGCAUGAGAACUUAAUCAAAGGAGUAAUCCGCUAUAAGAUGGGCCCGCGGCGCAUUAGCUAGUUGGUGAGGUAAAGGCUCACCAAGGCGACGAUGCGUAGCCGACCUGAGAGGGUGAUCGGCCACAUUGGAACUGAGACACGGUCCAGACUCCUACGGGAGGCAGCAGUGGGGAAUAUUGCGCAAUGGGGGAAACCCUGACGCAGCAACGCCGCGUGAGUGAUGAAGGCCUUCGGGUUGUAAAGCUCUGUCUUCUGGGACGAUAAUGACGGUACCAGAGGAGGAAGCCACGGCUAACUACGUGCCAGCAGCCGCGGUAAUACGUAGGUGGCAAGCGUUGUCCGGAUUUACUGGGCGUAAGGGAUGCGUAGGCGGAUAUUUAAGUGGGAUGUGAAAUACCCGGGCUCAACUUGGGUGCUGCAUUCCAAACUGGAUAUCUAGAGUGCGGGAGAGGUAAGUGGAAUUCCUAGUGUAGCGGUGAAAUGCGUAGAGAUUAGGAAGAACACCAGUGGCGAAGGCGACUUACUGGACCGUAACUGACGCUGAGGCAUGAAAGCGUG